rnacentral:rRNA from 1 species
UACGUAGGGUGCGAGCGUUGUCCGGAAUUAUUGGGCGUAAAGAGCUCGUAGGCGGUCUGUCGCGUCGGUCGUGAAAACUUGGGGCUUAACCCUGAGCUUGCGGUCGAUACGGGCAUGACUGGAGUUCGGCAGGGGAGACUGGAAUUCCUGGUGUAGCGGCGAAAUGCGCAGAUAUCAGGAGGAACACCGGUGGCGAAGGCGGGUCUCUGGGCCGAUACUGACGCUGAGGAGCGAAAGCGUGGGGAGCGAACAGG